GUGCGCCGGGAGGCAGCACAUAUACUACAAUCGGAACAGAGAAGACUAGCCUGGCCCCUGCGCAAGGAUGACAGGCAAAGGCGUGAAGUGUUUCAUAUGUAA